GGACUAGUAACCAGCAGGUAGCCUAGUGGUUAGAGUGUUGGACUAGUAACCAGCAGGUAGCCUAGUGGUUAGAGUGUUGGACUAGUAACCAGCAGGUAGUCUAGUGGUUAGAGUGUUGGACUAGUAACCAGCAGGUAGUCUAGUGGUUAGAGUGUUGGACUAGUAACCAGCAGGUAGCCUAGUGGUUAGAGUGUUGGACUAGUAACCAGCAGGUAGCCUAGUGGUUAGAGUGUUGGACUAGUAACCAGCAGGUAGCCUAGUGGUUAGAGCAUUGGGCUAGUAACCAGCAGGUAGCCUAGUGGUUAGAGCAUUGGGCUAGUAACCAGCAGGUAGCCUAG